GGAGUGUGCUGUCAUAUGCUGUGGGAGUGUCUGGUUGGGCGUGGUCCAGUUUCCUGUCAUUUGUCCCUGGGAGUGGAGUUGGCCAGCUCAUCACCUGUUGUCAAUCUCCGGGGCUCCACCUAGAGGGUUUUUAAGCCAGCACGGCCUGCUACUCCUCGCCAGUUCGUCCUGCUACCAUCUGUGAUUCUCCACCCAUCGCACUCACCAGUAGUGCUGUUUUGGUCUUCAUCCUGUUCUCCCAUCAGCUCGGAACCCGAGGAUUAUAUACUCCACUUCUCCUCAGCCUGCCCUUCAGUCUGUAUGCUCCACCUCCUCGGAAUCUGGACCGGACUUUCCACUCUUGACCCUCUCUGGAUUACACCCAUGGCAGCCUUUUCCCUGUCUAAUAACUAGGGUCUCCAAAAGUUCCCGUUAGAAGUCUCCCCGUGCUCUACGCCGGUUUCUCCGCCCACGGAUUUCCUUUAGUUACUGCAUAUGUUUCUGUUAAACCCAGUUCCGUUCACGUUUUGUUCUUUUCAAUAAAUCAUACACAGUUCUAAGCAAAUUGAGUCUGCUCUUGAGUCCACCGCAUUCUCGCUCGUGACAGAACGAACUGGCCACUAAUGGACUCAGCGGACCCAAUUCGCGCCGCCAUUAACAAACAGGGCGCGGUGUUAGGACGGCAUGAACAGACUUUGUCGUCCUUAAUGGACCAGUGUAAUGCUAUCAGUGAAAAACAGGAGGAGUUACUUACCCGGUUGUCAGAAAUCAGGGAGCCUAAUCCGCCCGUUUUCCCUAGUCAGCCGGGACCGUUGCCUGCACCCGCCGUUGCGCGUCCUGAAUCGGCUUAUCGGGGCAUCUCUUCCCCUCCACCGGAGCCUUUU